UACGUAGGGUGCAAGCGUUGUCCGGAAUUAUUGGGCGUAAAGAGCUCGUAGGCGGUCUGUCGCGUCGGCUGUGAAAACCCGGAGCUCAACUCCGGGCCUGCAGUCGAUACGGGCAAACUGGAGUGUUGCAGGGGAGACUGGAAUUCCUGGUGUAGCGGUGAAAUGCGCAGAUAUCAGGAGGAACACCGGUGGCGAAGGCGGGUCUCUGGGCAACAACUGACGCUGAGGAGCGAAAGCGUGGGGAGCGAACAGGA
rnacentral:rRNA from 1 species